rnacentral:rRNA from 1 species
UUCCGGUUGAUCCUGCCGGAGGCCAUUGCUAUCGGAGUCCGAUUUAGCCAUGCUAGUCGAGCGAGGUUAGCCCUCGCGGCGAACAGCUCAGUAACACGUGGCCAAGCUACCCUGCAGAGGGGGACAGCGUCGGGAAACUGACGGGAAUCCCCCAUACCGGUCUCACGCUGGAAUGCCGAGACCGACAAACGCUCCGGCGCUGCAGGAUGCGGCUGCGGCCGAUUAGGUAGUCGGUGGGGUAACGGCCCACCGAGCCGAUAAUUGGUACGGGGUGUGAGAGCACGAGCCCGGAGACGGAAUCUGAGACAAGAUUCCGGGCCCUACGGGGCGCAGCAGGCGCGAAACCUUUACACUGCACGAACGUGCGAUAAGGGGACUCCGAGUGCGAGGGCAUACAGUCCUCGCUAUUGUGUACCGUAGGGUGGUACACGACCAAGAGCUGGGCAAGACCGGUGCCAGCCGCCGCGGUAAUACCGGCAGCUCGAGUGAUGGCCGAUUUUAUUGGGCCUAAAGCGUCCGUAGCUGGCCCUGCAAGUCCGUCGGGAAAUCCACUCGCCUAACGAGUGGGCGUCCGGCGGAAACUACAGGGCUUGGGACCGGAAGACUUGAGGGGUACGUCUGGGGUAGGAGUGAAACCCUGUAAUCCUGGACGGACCGCCGAUAGCGAAAGCACCUCAAGACGACGGAUCCGACAGUGAGGGACGAAAGCUAGGGUCUCGAACCGGAUUAGAUACCCGGGUAGUCCUAGCUGUAAACGAUGUUCGCUAGAUGUGGCA